GACGAACGCUGGCGGCGUGCUUAACACAUGCGAGUCGAACGGAAAGGCCCUGCUUUUGUGGGGUGCUCGAGUGGCGUACGGGUGAGUAACACGUGAGUAACCUGCCCUUGACUUUGGGAUAACUUCAGGAAACUGGGGCUAAUACCGGAUAGGAGCUCCUGCUGCAUGGUGGGGGUUGGAAAGUUUCGGCGGUUGGGGAUGGACUCGCGGCUUAUCAGCUUGUUGGUGGGGUAGUGGCUUACCAAGGCUUUGACGGGUAGCCGGCCUGAGAGGGUGACCGGCCACAGUGGGACUGAGAUACGGCCCAGACUCCUACGGGAGGCAGCAGUGGGGAAUAUUGCACAAUGGGCGGAAGCCUGAUGCAGCAACGCCGCGUGCGGGAUGACGGCCUUCGGGUUGUAAACCGCUUUCGCCUGUGACGAAGCGUGAGUGACGGUAAUGGGUAAAGAAGCACCGGCUAACUACGUG
rnacentral:rRNA from 1 species